rnacentral:rRNA from 1 species
UACGGAGGAUCCGAGCGUUAUCCGGAUUUAUUGGGUUUAAAGGGUGCGCAGGCGGGAGAUUAAGUCGGAGGUGAAAUUUUGCAGCUCAACUGUAAAAGUGCCUUCGAAACUGGUUUCCUCGAGUGUGGAUGAAGUAGGCGGAAUUUGUGGUGUAGCGGUGAAAUGCAUAGAUAUCACGAGGAACUCCGAUUGCGCAGGCAGCUUACUAAACUACUACUGACGCUCAGGCACGAAGGCGUGGGGAUCAAACAGGAUUAGAUACCCUGGUA